ensembl:lncRNA
CCUGGCCCAGGGGCCUGGGACUGCUUUCCUCAGGCAGGAUGACCCAUCGUGGAGGGAGCGAAUCCCUUCCCCACCCUCUGCUCUAGCUCACUGUCCACCCUACCACCACCCGGGAGGGAGCAGGAAGUCCUCACACUUCCCACAGAUCAAGAAACUGACCCCGGCUGACAAGAGGCAAUGCUUCCUGCAGCCAGGGCCUCUCUCCCCAAGCAGGUGGGUCAGGUUAUUCCUUCCAUCUUUGCUUCUAGGACAGAAGCCAACCUCGUUCUGUACUGGCCAGGCACCCUCUUCAUCCUCACCCUCACCUCCAGGCUCCAGCUACAUGCGCCUUUUCCCAGUUUCUGAGACCUGAGCCCCAGGGUGCCCCCCAGCUGGGAGCUCCGUAAACGCAGGGACCAGGAGCACUGGCGGCAUCGGCCACCGAGAGCUCGGGGCCUCCCCACUGUCUGCCACGGAGUCAUCCACACGCCACAGAUCUGCUCGGAAUGCAUGGAGCCGAGAAGCCCCAGAGAGAUUCUUUUUUGGCCCACUGAG